rnacentral:rRNA from 1 species
CGUAGGCGGGGAUACAAGUCAGGUGUGAAAUCUAUGGGCUUAACCCAUAAACUGCACUUGAAACUGUAUCUCUUGAGUGUCGGAGAGGUAGACGGAAUUCCUAGUGUAGCGGUGAAAUGCGUAGAUAUUAGGAGGAACACCAGUGGCGAAGGCGGUCUACUGGACGAUAACUGACGCUGAGGCGCGAAAGCGUGGGGAGCAAACA